GACAGAGGGUGCAAACGUUGUUCGGAAUUACUGGGCGUAAAGCGCGUGUAGGCGGCUUGGCAAGUCGGGUGCGAAAGCCCUGGGCUCAACCUAGGAAGUGCACUCGAAACUGCCUCGCUGGAGUGCCGGAGAGGAAAGCGGAAUUCUCGGUGUAGCGGUGAAAUGCGCAGAUAUCAGGAGGAACACCGGUGGCGAAGGCGGGUCUCUGGGCCGAAACUGACGCUGAGGAGCGAAAGCGUGGGGAGCAAACAGG
rnacentral:rRNA from 1 species